rnacentral:rRNA from 1 species
CGUCAGCUCGUGCCGUGAGGUGUCGGGUUAAGUCCCAUAACGAGCGCAACCCUUACUGUUAGUUGCCAGCGGGUAAUGCCGGGGACUCUAGCGGGACUGCCACCGUAAGGUGAGAGGAAGGUGGGGAUGACGUCAAAUCAGCACGGCCCUUAUGUCCAGGGCUACACACGUGUUACAAUGGCCGGUACAAAGGGCAGCUACACCGCGAGGUGAUGCUAAUCUCCAAAGCCGGUCCCAGUUCGGAUCGAAGUCUGCAACCCGACUUC